rnacentral:rRNA from 1 species
AACGAACGCUGGCGGCUUGCUUAACACAUGCAAGUCGAACGAUCCCUUCGGUGCUUGUGGCGCACGGGUGCGUAACGCGUGGGUACCUGCCCUUUGGUUCGGAAUCCUUUAGAGGAAUUUGAGCUAAUACAGGCUAAUGUUAUCGCCCCAUAGAUGUAUGGCCUUGGGGUGGGGCCGUAUGAGAUUAGCUUGUUGGUGGUGUAAAGGCCUACCAAGGCGUAGUGCCAUAGCUGGUCUGGGAGGAGGACCAGCCACACUGGGACUGAGACACGGACGAGACACCUACGAAAGGCAGAAGGGGGGAAUAAGGGACGAUGGGCGAAAGACUAAGGCAGCAAUGUCGCGUAAGUGAGGAAGGACAUAGGAUUGUAAAGCAGAGUGAAAAGGGAAGAUAGUGACGGUACCGGGAGAAUAAGCCCCGGCUAACUACGUG